rnacentral:siRNA from 1 species
UCAGACCAUGCUAUUCUUGUGC